CCAACGUGGGCAUCCAGUGAGGUGGCUCUCAUUUGGCUCUGUCCAAGUGGCAUAUGGGAGCCUAGCUUCCUAAGGGAGCAGUGAGGUAUAGUCCCAUUCCACAAUGUUGGAGAGAAAGAUUUCACCCCUUGACUGAAAAUGUUGACGGGGAAGGCGUCCUGUAUAUUCCUACAACUCCUCAGUGCUUGCCAUUGCUGAGAAGACAAACCAUGCAGGGCACAAGC
rnacentral:snoRNA from 1 species